rnacentral:rRNA from 1 species
AGCGAACGCUGGCGGCAGGCCUAACACAUGCAAGUCGAACGAACCUUUCGGGGUUAGUGGCGGACGGGUGAGUAACACGUGGGAACGUGCCUUUAGGUUCGGAAUAACUCAGGGAAACUUGUGCUAAUACCGAAUGUGCCCUUCGGGGGAAAGAUUAAUCGCCUUUAGAGCGGCCCGCGUCUGAUUAGCUUGUUGGUUGAGGUAAUGGCUCACCAAGGCGACGAUCAGUAGCUGGUCUGAGAGGAUGAUCAGCCACAUUGGGACUGAGACACGGCCCAAACUCCUACGGGAGGCAGCAGUGGGGAAUCUUGCGCAAUGGGCGAAAGCCUGACGCAGCCAUGCCGCGUGAAUGAUGAAGGUCUUAGGAUUGUAAAAUUCUUUCACCGGGGACGAUAAUGACGGUACCCGGAGAAGAAGCCCCGGCUAACUUCGUG